rnacentral:rRNA from 1 species
ACAAGCAGCGGAGCGUGUGGUUUAAUUCGUUGCUACACGAAGAACCUUACCUGGUUUGACAUAUAGGUUGUAGGGAACUGAAAGGGACCGACCUUCGGGGAGCCUAUACAGGUGUUGCAUGGCUGUCGUCAGCUCGUGUCGUGAGAUGUUCGGUUAAGUCCGCUAACGAGCGCAACCCUCGUCGUAUGUUAUAUGUGUCAUACGAGACUGCCGGUAAAAAGCCGGAGGAAGGUGAGGAUGAUGUCAAGUCAGCAUGACCUUUAUAUCCAGGGCUACACACACGCUACAAUGGUCUGUACAAUGGGUAGCCAAGCCGCGAGGCGGAGCCAAUCCUGAAAGCAGGCCUCAGUUCAGAUUGCAGUCUGCAACUCGACUGCAUGAAGCCGGAGUUGCUAGUAACCGCAGGUCAGCAAUGCUGCGGUGAAUACGUUCCCGGGUCUU